AUUGAACGCUGGCGGCAGGCCUAACACAUGCAAGUCGAACGGCAGCACAGAAGAGCUUGCUCUUUGGGUGGCGAGUGGCGGACGGGUGAGUAAUGUCUGGGAAACUGCCCGAUGGAGGGGGAUAACUACUGGAAACGGUAGCUAAUACCGCAUAACGUCGCAAGACCAAAGUGGGGGACCUUCGGGCCUCACACCAUCGGAUGUGCCCAGAUGGGAUUAGCUAGUAGGUGGGGUAACGGCUCACCUAGGCGACGAUCCCUAGCUGGUCUGAGAGGAUGACCAGCCACACUGGAACUGAGACACGGUCCAGACUCCUACGGGAGGCAGCAGUGGGGAAUAUUGCACAAUGGGCGCAAGCCUGAUGCAGCCAUGCCGCGUGUAUGAAGAAGGCCUUCGGGUUGUAAAGUACUUUCAGCGGGGAGGAAGGCGACGCGGUUAAUAACCGGGUCGAUUGACGUUACCCGCAGAAGAAGCACCGGCUAACUCCGUG
rnacentral:rRNA from 1 species